rnacentral:rRNA from 1 species
CAACCCCCCGAGUAGAGUGGCGAACGGGUGAGUGACGCGUGAGAAACCUGCCCAGAAGUGGGGGAUAACACUCCUAACGGGGUGCUAAUACCGCAUACGGUGCUUGAGUCGCAUGGCUCGAACACCAAAGGUGGCCUCUGUUUACAAGCUAUCGCUUCUGGAUGGUCUCGCGUCCGACUAGCUAGUUGGCGGGGUAAUGGCCCACCAAGGCGACGAUCGGUAGCUGGUCUGAGAGGAUGGUCAGCCACACUGGGACUGAGAUACGGCCCAGACUCCUACGGGAGGCAGCAGUCGAGAGGCUUCGGCAACGGGGGAAACCCUGACCGAGCGACGCCGCGUGGGGGAUGAAGGCCCUUGGGUUGUAAACCCCUUUCG